rnacentral:rRNA from 1 species
CACCGCGGUUAUACGAGGGGCCCAAGUUGACAGAUACCGGCGUAAAACGUGGCAAAAACGUACCCCCGACUAAAGCCAAACACCCCCAUAUAGCUGUAAUACGUAAAUGGGGGCAGGAAGCCCUACCACGAAGGUGGCUUUACUUAAUUUGAACCCACGAAAGCUAGGGGA